rnacentral:rRNA from 1 species
UACGUAGGGAGCAAGCGUUGUCCGGAAUCAUUGGGCGGUAAAGCGCGCGUAGGUGGCCUCAUAAGUCCGACUGUGGAAAGUCAAAGGCUCAACCUUUGAAAGCCGGUGGAUACUGUGAGGCUAGAGUACGGAAGAGGCGAGUGGAAUUCCUGGUGUAGCGGUGGAAUGCGCCAGAUAUCAGGAGGAACACCAAUAGCGAAGGCAGCUCGCUGGGACGUUACUGACACUGAGGCGCGAAAGCCGUGGGGAGCGAACAGG